rnacentral:lncRNA from 1 species
AUGAUGCAGGAAGUGUAGCACAUUGAAAAAAAUAUUUAAUAGCAAAUACCACCUCAUACAUUAUAAUAGGCCAAAAUUUUUGAAAGAAAAAAGUCUGAAAUCCAUCAAGCCCAAGAGUUUUAUCAGGAUGCAUCUCUAUAACAGCCUGCUUAAUUUUUUUGUCUGUCACAUCACUACUGAGCAGGAUACUCUCAUGAGGAGAUACCAUUGGAGUGACAAGAGGAUGUAUCAGGUCAGGAAUCAAACCAUCAGCAGUCCACCUUUCUUUAAAAUGAUCAAUCAUAAUAUUUUGAAUAAUAAUAGGAUCAUCAGUGACACCACCCUGUGGCAAAAAAAGAUUUUUAAUGCGAUUAGUUCGUCUGCACAGAAUAGUGGAACAAUGAAAAAAUUUUGUAUUAGUAUCACCCUGCUUCAAUCAGUGGACAUAAGAUUUCUGCCACCACAUAAGCUCAAUACGAUGAAGAGUAAUGUUAUAAUCACACAGUAAGGAAAGUAACAAAGUAUGAUCCUCCAUAGAUAGAUAUCCAGCUUGAGAUUCAUAGAUUUGAAGCUCAUAAAUUUGAUCAUAUAACUGUUUAGCUGGAGUAUUUAAAUUGUCUAAAGUAUAUUUCCACUUAUUUAUAACCUUCCAAAUUUUUUUGAGAAGAAGAGAUAAUCUAUCCAAGGAUUAUGCAAAGUAUACCCAUUUCAAUUUUUUUUAAUUAACUCAGUAACCUAAGGAUAAGUAACCCAAACUUUUUCAAAACAGAAAAGACGAGGACCCCGAUGAAAAUGAUCAAGAACUGAAAGGAGGAGAGGGCAAUGGUCAGGAGCAAAAUGGGUUAGAUGAGAAAUUGAUGAUUCU